rnacentral:rRNA from 1 species
ACUGUUUACCAAAAACAUAGCCCUCGGCCAAUAUGAAAAUAGAUGUAUAGAGGGUGAUGCCUGCCCAAUGGUUGUAUCUAAAAGCGGUUGAUAAAAGUCGACCUCGUAAGGACAAUUGAAUGGCCGCGGUAACACUGACCGUGAUAAUGUAGCGUAAUCAAUAGCCAAUUAAUUGUUGGCCAGUAUGAAUGGCGCCACGAAGGCCCCACUGUCUUAAGGAAAUUCCCAGUGAAAUUGAAUUCGUAGUGAAGAUGCUACGUCCAAUUUGUUAGACGAAAAGACCCCGUUGAGCUUUACUGGGGCACUUACACGGCCCCGGCCUUCCCGUGUCCGGGAACCGGCCGAAUUUAAAUGGGUGGUUUAGACUAUGUGGCAGCCCCCCGCCGGGGCAGAUGAAACCCCACUCCCCCAUGUCAAAGGGGCUAACCCCCUCUUGGGGGGGAG